rnacentral:rRNA from 1 species
UACGUAGGAGGCAAGCGUUGUCCGGAAUUACUGGGUGUAAAGAGCGUGUAGGCGGCUCGAUAAGUCUGCUGUGAAAGUCCAGGGCUCAACCCUGGAAGGCCGGUGGAAACUGUCGGGCUAGAGUGCGGAAGAGGCGAGUGGAAUUCCCGGUGUAGCGGUGAAAUGCGCAGAUAUCGGGAAGAACACCCGUGGCUAAGGCGGCUACUCUAGUACGGUACUGACGCUGAGACGCGAAAGCGUGGGGAGCGAACAGG